UGAAAGUUGCCGUACAGAAACACCUCGUUAAACCGUACCCGCUAAAAGAUUAGUUUUGUUUUAAAAGCCGUGAAGUCAAAUCCCCGACUCGGCGGCCAUUGAAUACAACGCGCUUCGUAUCCACAUAAACCGUACCAGCUUACUGUGUAAGCAUCUGUUUAAACAUAG
rnacentral:lncRNA from 1 species